rnacentral:rRNA from 1 species
UACGAAGGGGGCUAGCGUUGUUCGGAAUCACUGGGCGUAAAGCGCACGUAGGCGGAUUGUUAAGUCGGGGGUGAAAUCCUGAGGCUCAACCUCAGAACUGCCUCCGAUACUGGCAAUCUCGAGUUCGGAAGAGGUUGGUGGAACAGCUAGUGUAGAGGUGAAAUUCGUAGAUAUUAGCUAGAACACCGGUGGCGAAGGCGGCAUCCUGGACCGGCAUUGACGCUGAGGCGCGAAAGCCAGGGGAGCAAACGGG